rnacentral:rRNA from 1 species
AGUGAACGCUGGCGGUAGGCCUAACACAUGCAAGUCGAACGGCAGCACAGUAAUAGCUUGUGGUUACGGGGGGGGAGGGGCGGGUGGGGCAUGAGUACCUCGGAAUCUGCUUUGUCGUGGGGGAUGACGUAGGGAAACUUACGCUAAUACCGCAGACGACCUACGUGGGAAAGCAGCGGAUCUUCGGACCUGGGGCGAUUCUAGGAGCCGAUGUCGGAUUAGUUAGUUGGUGGGGUAAAGGCCCACCGAGGCGACGAUCCGUAGCUGGUCUGAGAGGAUGAUCAGCCACACUGGAACUGAGACACGGUCCAGACUCCUACGGGAGGCAGCAGUGGGGAAUAUUGGACAAUGGGCGCAAGCCUGAUCCAGCCAUGCCGCGUGGGUGAAGAAGGUCUUCGGGUUGUAAAGCCCUUUUGUUGGGAAAGAAAAGCAGUAGGUUAAUACCACGCUGUUCUGACGGUACCAACAGAAUAAGCACCGGCUAACUUCGUG